UUUUUCUCCCUCUCACACUCGACGGAAACCCUACGAAAGGGAAAAAAUUCGCCGCCUCCAUCUUCCUCCGCCACCACGACGCCGACUCUCCUCCGCCACAACAAAUUUCCGGCGACCAGAAACCAGAAACCCUACAACAAAUCCCCAACCAUACAACUUCCAGAUGGCACGGAUAUUUACCCCCAUCCCCGAGACUGAUUCUACCAAAUCAGGAAACGGUAAAGAAUGAAAAGCGGUGGAAACGAAGCUAAUCUGAUAUCAAUCAAAGAUAGAGAAGCAGGAAGAGCGGCAGAGUCGGAGGAAUCUACACUGAAAACCCUCAAAGACCGACGAAAAUCAACGAUUCAAGGAAUUAGGUAGAUUUAAUGAACAUUUCGAACGGUAUUGAAGUUUCUAAGAAAGAAAAGAAGAAGGGCUUCCAUGACUGCACAACCCUAAACACCAAGAGGAAGAUCAAGGUAUAAAAGCUCAACAUAAAGGAAGAUGAGACAUUCAACAAUGCAAAGAAAUCCAGAAAUAAGAAGAUGAGUACCUGAACUUUAAUGUGCUGAGUCCUUAGAUGGCAAACUCUUGAGUAUUACAGAUUUUCUCAGUUUCUUCAUUGAUAGCUAUCUUUUAUGUUGGUAACAAAGAGAUAUUAUAGAUUAAGAUGACAAGAGAGCUCAAUGAAAAAGCUAAGAUUUAGGAGGUAUAGAACUACUUCUAAACCAUGAUGACCAUAAUCUGUGUAGUGAAAUGAUGUAUUUAGGACAAAGAAGAAGUUUAAGAGAACUAUAGAAAAGUAAGAAAUCAGAGACGAAUGAUAAGGGGAAUGCAAGAAAUUUAAAGGGUUAGAGCCACAUAUAAACCAAGAAGACCUUUCAGUUUAUCAUGGUUAUCAAUAGUCUAAACAUACAAAAUAGGUGUAGUAUGUUGAUGUAGUAUGUUGUAAAUUUUGAUGAAUUUUACAAAAAUGAAUGUAAAUUUUACAUUCAUGAAUUCAUACUAUAAUGAUGAAUUCAAACUAUACUUGGAAAUAUUGAUGUAGUAUGUUGUAAAUUUUACAAAAAAUGAAUUCAAACUAUACUUAUAAUAGUUGUUAUCUGUCUGAAUGUUCAAAUGUAUGAGCUUAAGAGAAUCUUAUGUUCCAAACUACUAUUGUAUACACACUAAUUUUUAUUGUAAUAUAAGUUUCGUUAACUGAUUUGAUUGAAUGAAAUGUUCAAUGUUUUGUCUUAGAAAUUUCCCAAAUAUUCAAUUAGUAAAAGCUAAAUGAUGGUACAUAGAGAUAUUGGAUAUGAUCUGUGUUUCUAAAUGUUUAUUAAUGUUGCAUGUGACUGAAAUUAUCUGAAUCACUAUUAGUUUCAUUGCUUAACUAUUAAACGACCUUAUUCAAUAACCUCUGCACUCCUUCUAAAUAGGAAAUAAAAAAGAAUAAAACCACUAAUACAAGACUUAAACAUGAAAAAAUUAACACUCGUUGGCAUAAAAUUUCCGAUCAACUUCUUAACUAUUUCAAUCAUAUAUUCAAAGGGUUUAGUAUAUCAUAACAAAGAAAAAAAGCUUCAUCUCUUUAUGUUCUUGCAAUAAUACACAUUAUAUGCCAUCAAUGAUCUUUCUUGAAAGAGUAUACUAAUCAACAAUUUUUUGAUUUCAGUAGCUCAAGUGGUGAACAACACCAUAAUACAUGAGAUUUUGAAUGAGGAGAAGCAACCAACGAAAGAAGUUAAAGAGCAUAAAAGAUAUCUUAACCUUGUUCCUGUUAAUCAAGAAUGACAGAUGAUUGGAGGGGAAUAUGAUGAUCUCCAGUUGAAAUCCCUUGAGGAUUUGUCUUGCUUAGAGGAAUUGUAUAAUUUUUUUACUUUUAAUCUCAAUAUUGAUUUCUCUUCUUGAAGUUUAUUUGUAAAAUUUCAAUAGUUUCUUUUUGGAUUUGAUUUUUAGGAUGGUUCAUGUUGGGUUUUUGGCAAGAUUGAGUCGGUUGAAUGCCAUUAUAAUGAAUGGUUUUAUUUGGCUUGCAAGACAUGUAUGAAGAAGGUUAGACAAGUGGACAAUAAGUAUAACUGUAUUGGAUGUCACAAGACCAAUUCUUAUGCAAUUAAAAGGUUCAUAUUUUUUUUAAUGUUGUUGAUCACACCAGUAAUGCUUCUUUGUUGUUGUGGAUAUCCAGUUACUAGGAAGAAAUGUGGCUGACUUAGUUGGAGAUGGUGGUCAGGUUUAUCUUUUAAAUUCUGUAGAGUCAUAGUCUGCAAACUUCAUCAACAUCAGAUUGAAAAAACUGUUGUUGGUCAGAAUGUUUUGUUCAAACUUCAGUUCGAAAAUCAUAUUGAAUAUUAUAGGAGCUACCCAUUCACUGUCAAGGUGUGCACUAUACCUGAUGUGUUGAGAAGUAUACUCCUAAGGAUUUGGGUGAACAUAUUUUUGAAUCUGAUGUGAAGUUGUCUAAUCUUCUUUUUGAAAAUGAUCUUGAUGAGGUAUA